GACGUAGGGGGGCCAGCGUUGCUCGGAAUUACUGGGCGUAAAGGGUCCGUAGGCGGUGCGGUAAGUCGGGAGUGAAAUCUCUGGGCUUAACUCAGAGGCUGCUUCCGAAACUACCGUGCUAGAGUGCGAGAGAGGCAAGUGGAAUUGCGGGUGUAGCGGUGAAAUGCGUAGAUAUCCGCAGGAACAUCCGAGGCGAAAGCGGCUUGCUGGAUCGCAACUGACGCUGAGGGACGAAAGCUAGGGGGAGCAAACAGG
rnacentral:rRNA from 1 species